rnacentral:rRNA from 1 species
UGGUGCAUGGCCGUCGUCAGUUCGUACUGUGAAGCAUCCUGUUAAGUCAGGCAACGAGCGAGACCCACGCCCACAGUUGCCAGCGUACUCUCUGGAGUGACGGGUACACUGUGGGACCGCCGCUGCUAAAGCGGAGGAAGGAAUGGGCAACGGUAGGUCAGUAUGCCCCGAAUAUCCCGGGCUACACGCGAGCUACAAUGGUUGGUACAAUGGGUAUCUACCCCGAAAGGGGACGGGAAUCUCCUAAAACCAAUCUUAGUUCGGAUUGAGGGCUGCAACUCGCCCUCAUGAAGCUGGAAUCCGUAGUAAUCGCGUUUCAACAGAACGCGGUGAAUACGUCCCUGCUCCUU